UCCUCUGGUCGGAUCGGCCAUUCACUGGUUCUCGCCGCGGUCAUAUUUCAAAUAUGAUUAUCACCGGGUGAAAAUCAGAGCAGGGCCGAUCCCACCGA
rnacentral:pre_miRNA from 14 species